GCAAUGGUAGUUCAGUGGUAGAUCUCUCGACUUGCAUGUGGGAGACCAGGGUUCAAUUCCUGGCCAGUGUA
rnacentral:tRNA from 1 species